rnacentral:rRNA from 1 species
UACAGAGGGGGCGAGCGUUGUUCGGAAUUACUGGGCGUAAAGGGCGCGUAGGCGGCCUGCUAAGUCGGACGUGAAAUCCCUCGGCUCAACCGGGGAACUGCGUCCGAUACUGGCGGGCUUGAAUCCGGGAGAGGAAUGCGGAAUUCCAGGUGUAGCGGUGAAAUGCGUAGAUAUCUGGAGGAACACCGGUGGCGAAGGCGGCAUUCUGG